UUAGUACUCCCUCCGUCCGGAAAUACUUUUCAUCAAAAUGAUUAAAAGGGGAUGUAUCUAGAUGUAUUUUAGUUCUAGAUACAUCCCUUUUUGUCCAUUUUGAUGACAAGUAUUUUCGGACGGAGGGAGUACAUG
rfam:Triticum aestivum genome assembly, contig: Triticum_aestivum_CS42_TGACv1_scaffold_252072_3DL